UGGCCUUGAACUCGAGGUCUUCCUGCUUCACUAUAAUAUAAUAUAAUAUAAUAUAAUAUAAUAUAAUAGUUUACCACUACACCCAACUUACUUUUUUUUUCAUUGAUUUUAAUUUCUAUUGUUUUAACAUAUAUAAAAAAAUAAAUGUAAUAAGCCAAAUACAUGGACAAAAAUACAAGAAUCAUAUGAUCAUCUCAAUGGAAGGAAAAAGAAAAGAAACGAAACGGAAAAGUCUUUGAAAAGAUUUAAAAUGCAUUUUUAAAAAAGAUAUAUUUUAUGUAUGUGAGUACACUGUUGCUCUCUUCAGACACACCAGAAGAAGAGCAUCAGAUCCCAUUGCAGAUGGUUGUGAGCUACCAUGUGGUUGCUGGGAAUUGAACUCAAGACCUCUGGAAGAACAAGAGCAGUAAGUGCUCUUAACCAUUGAGCCAUCUUUCCAGCCCCUCAACAAGCAUUCUUAAUAAAAGCCCUAGAACAAGUAGAACUGUGUAGGAAGCAUAUUCAAGCAUAAAAAAGGUUAUGAAUGACAAACUCGUGGGCAAUAUCAACCUAAAUGAAUAGAACCAUUAAUAAGCCCCAUAAAAAUCAGGAAUAGAAGAGGACUGCCCACUGUCCCUACUACUCAUCCAUAAUGCGAUUGAAACAUUAGCUGGAGCAAUAAGGCAAGAGAAGGGAUACAAAUGGGAAGUAUUAAGUCAAAUUAUUUUCCAUUGAAGAUUAUAUUAUCUUAUACCCAAUGUUCCCAAAAUUUGACUAGAAAAAAUUGUAGACAUUCUCAAUAAUUUCAGCAAAGUGUUAUGAUACAUAAUUGACUUGCAAAAUUUACCAGUCAAUAUAUACGAGUAUCAAGCAUGCUGAGAAAGAGAUCAUGGGAGCUGGAGAGAGGGCUCAGCUCAGAGAUGGUUAAGAGCACUGACUGCUCUUCCGAAGGUCCUGAGUUCAAUUCCCAGCAACCACAUGGUGGGUCACAACCAUCUAUAAUGAGAUCUGGCGCCCACUUCUGGAGUGUCCGAAGGCAGCUACAGUGUACUUACAUAUAAUAAAUAAAUAAAUCUUAAAAAGAAAACGAAAGAAAGAAAGAAAGAAAGAGAGAGGAGAGAGAGAGAGAGAGAGAGAGAGAGAGAAAGAAAGAAGGAAAGAGAUCAUGGACACGCUCCUCUUCCUAGUUUCUCAAAUAAAAUAUUUAGAAUACAUAUAACAAAAGAGGUAAAAAACCUCUACAAUGAAAACUUUAAAUGUGUAAAGAAAGAGAUUAAGAAACAUACUAGAAGCCGGGGUGUGGCGGCUCACGCCUUUAAUCCCAGCACUCGGGAGGCAGAGGCAGGCGGAUUUCUGAGUUCGAGGCCAGCCUGUUACAAAGUGAGUUCCAGGACAGCCAGGGCUAUACAGAGAAACCCUGUCUCGAACAACAACAACAAAAAC
rnacentral:lncRNA from 1 species